ensembl:snRNA U6 U6 spliceosomal RNA
GGGUUCCAUCCCCAAUACACAAGAAAUAAAAUUGGAACACAGAGAAGAUCAGCUUGGUCCCUAUGAAUGGAUGAUAGUCAAAUUCAUGAAGAAUUCCGUAUUUUU